CAGGGACCAUGGCGGUGGCAGCAGAGGUGGCAGGGGCGGGGCGGCUGGCGGUAGAGGAGGCUGUGGUCCUCAGGGGGCUGUAGGUGGAGGUAUGGCUCGGGCCAGCAGCGGGAACGGCAGCGAGGAGGCCUGGGGGGCACUUCGGGCGCCGCAACAGCAGGUAUCCCAAUAGCUCCAAAACCUAUCACGACAGCCAUUUGUCUCUUUCCCCUUUCCUUGUCCCUUCUUUUUGGGGGUGGGGGAGGAACUCACGGAGCCACAGGUACUGUGAAGUUCCUAAACAUGUCUCUUCCACUCUUUGUCUAAACUUUGUAACGUAGAUGCAGCUGACUUUGCCUGUAGCCUCAUAGACCCCAUCCCAUGGCUGCAGUGGAAGCUUGCGGUGGCUCUCCAGUGACCAGAGGCAUAGUGAGGUCCCAGGGAGGCUCCCUCUGUCUUGCAACAGUUAUUUGUGAUCUUUUUCUAUGUGCCUAUUGUCACAACAGAGUCCGGCAGCGUCUUCUCUUGAGGGAGCAAUUUGGAGAAGAGCUGGAACCCAGACUCGCGCCCUGGAUGCCAUCCUUUAUCAUCCACAGCAAUCCCAUCUGGUUGGGAGCACUGCUCUGGCUUCGAGAGCUGUGCCCAGGAGUGAACAACCAGCCCUAUCUCUGUGAGAGUGGUCACUGCUGCGGGGAGACUGGCUGCUGCACCUACUACUAUGAGCUCUGGUGGUUCUGGCUGCUCUGGACUGUCCUCAUCCUCUUUAGCUGCUGUUGCGCCUUCCGCCACCGACGAGCUAAACUCAGGCUGCAACAACAGCAGCGGCAGCGUGAAAUCA
rnacentral:sRNA from 1 species